AAAUUGAAGAGUUUGAUCAUGGCUCAGAUUGAACGCUGGCGGCAGGCCUAACACAUGCAAGUCGAACGGUAACAGGAAGCAGCUUGCUGCUUCGCUGACGAGUGGCGGACGGGUGAGUAAUGUCUGGGAAACUGCCUGAUGGAGGGGGAUAACUACUGGAAACGGUGGCUAAUACCGCAUAACGUCGCAAGACCAAAGAGGGGGACCUUCGGGCCUCUUGCCAUCAGAUGUGCCCAGAUGGGAUUAGCUUGUUGGUGAGGUAACGGCUCACCAAGGCAA
rnacentral:rRNA from 1 species